rnacentral:rRNA from 1 species
GAUGAACGCUGGCGGCGUGCCUAAUACAUGCAAGUCGAGCGAACCACUUCGGUGGUGAGCGGCGAACGGGGUGAGUAACACGUAGGUGAUCUGCCCAUCAGACGGGGACAACGAUUGGAAACGAUCGCUAAUACCGGAUAGGACGAAAGUUUAAAGGUGCUUCUGGCACCGCUGAUGGAUGAGCCUGCGGCGCAUUAGCUAGUUGGUAGGGUAAAGGCCUACCAAGGCGACGAUGCGUAGCCGACCUGAGAGGGUGAACGGCCACACUGGGACUGAGACACGGCCCACGACUCCUACGGGAGGCAGCAGUAGGGAAUCUUCGGCAAAUGGGCGAAAGACCUGACCGA